rnacentral:rRNA from 1 species
GAUGAACGCUAGCGGCAGGCCUAAUACAUGCAAGUCGGACGGGAUUGAGGAGCUUGCUCCUCAUGAGAGUGGCGCACGGGUGCGUAACACGUAUGUAACCUACCUUAAUCAGGGGGAUAGCCUCUCGAAAGAGAGAUUAAAACCGCAUAAAAUCACACUAUGGCAUCAUAGAAUGAUCAAAUAUUUAUAGGAUUAAGAUGGGCAUGCGCAACAUUAGCUAGGUGGUAAGGUAACGGCUUACCAAGGCUACGAUGUUUAGGGGAUGUGAGAGGAUGGCCCCCACACUGGUACUGAGACACGUACCAGACUCCUACGGGAGGCAGCAGUAAGGAAUAUUGGUCAAUGGGCGGAAGCCUGAACCAGCCAUGCCGCGUGCAUGAAGACGGCCCUACGGGUUGUAAACUGCUUUUAUACGGGAAUAAACCUACUUACGUGUAAGUAGCUGAAUGUACUGUAAGAAUAAGGAUCGGCUAACUCCGUGCCAGCCGCCGCGGUAAGAC